rnacentral:lncRNA from 1 species
CCCGAGUGAGCCCGUCUCGCCGCCCCUCGCCCUAUGACACGCGUGCCAGGCUGGGGCUCCGCCGCCGCGGCCGUGCCAGGGCAGGCUUUACCUGAUACCGGUCCCUUUCGGCUCGCCACGCCCCUCCCCUCCGCCAGUGGUGAGCAGGAGGAGCUCCGCGCGGGCGCCGCCCGGCUCUGGCUAUAAGAUCGAGGUGCGCGCGACGCCCAGGGCAGACCGCGAGGGGGCGAGGGGAGAGAGGGGAGCAAGGGGAGCGAGGUAGGCUGCGGCUCGGUCUGUGGCUGGGGAGCACGGGAGCGAGCACCACAGAAGCCUAGAGGGGCGGGGCGAGCGGGCGAGUCGUGCCCCCCCUGGCGCUCCGGGUGGCGCGGGCAGGCAGCAGUCCGGCAACGCAGCGCAGAGCGGGCGAGCCCGAGCCGAGCGCAGCCGAGCGGGGCCGGGCGCAUCCCCGGACCCCCGCUGACCGGCCCCAACCCCACUUUCCCCUCUUGCCCCAAGACCGAAUCUCUCAGCGGAACCCACACAGCCGUGAGCAUGGCGUCCUCGGCGAGGUCCACUCCUCCGACCUCCAGGAGAAUGGACGGCGUCAACCUCCCGACCCACAAGUGCGACGUGGUCGUCAUAGGGGGAGGCAUCUCAGGUCUUUCUGCUGCCAAAUUGUUGGCCGAAUAUGAAAUUGAUGUUGUGGUUUUAGAAGCACGGAACCGAGUCGGAGGAAGACUUACACUGUGA